UACGAACCGUGCAAACGUUGUUCGGAAUCACUGGGCUUAAAGGGCGCGUAGGCGGCUUGCCAAGUCAGGGGUGAAAUCUUUCGGCUCAACCGGAAAAGUGCCUCUGAUACUGGCGAGCUAGAGGGAGGUAGGGGCAUGUGGAACUUCCGGUGGAGCGGUGAAAUGCGUUGAUAUCGGAAGGAACGCCGGUGGCGAAAGCGACGUGCUGGACCUCUUCUGACGCUGAGGCGCGAAAGCUAGGGGAGCGAACGGG
rnacentral:rRNA from 1 species